rnacentral:lncRNA from 1 species
GCCAAUGACUAGGAUUCCUCAUCUGCUAGCUCAGUCUUAACUAUCAUAAAUCUAUAUAUUUUAUAAGACUUAUCUUAUUGGACACCUUAUUGCCGUUCCUCCUUGCCGGUGGAUCACAUCCUGCUGCUGAAGGAGGAAGGGGGAAAAGGGGGGCAUUUCCUGUUUCUCCUUCUUUAAAUAUGAGUCUCCUUGCUAUGUCACUUCCUGCCUUAAACACCACUUCUCUACUACAUUUCCCAAAAUCCUCUUUGACUCCUAGUCGUGUCUAACUUGCUGCCAUUGGCCAAACAGUAUUUUAUUUAACAACCAAUAAGAUAAACAUACACAGAAGUACUUUCCCCAUCAUCUCCUCUUUUCUGUCUAAAAUAAAAGAAGGAUAACUUAUCUUUUAUAAUAACUGAAGAAAACUAUAACCAUAACUAUCUGCCUUCAACUCUAUCAAAGACCACAGAAGGAUAAUAUAUAAACUCUAGAAUUGACAGAGACAUCUGGCUACCUGGACAGUCACCCAAAGUUCCUCUGUAACGUUGGGGCAUCAUCUUCAGCCUAUAGGCCACAGUGUGUCUGGCACACUUCUCCAUUUCAACAGAACCCUUCAGUACUGUCUUGUUUUGUAAGUUCAGCAGUCACUUUCUUGUGGGUCCUGUAUGUCCGGUUUAUACAGCAACAAACAGUCCAGGCAAGAGCAGUUUCUUGCUCAAAUGGCUAAUCUUGCCAUGUUGAAACCAAACUCCAUAACGAGUUUCUUCGAUGCCCAUCCUCCUUUCUGAUGUAAUUGGUGUGCCAGGAGCAGUUGUGUCUCAUUGCCAAGAAAAACCCUAAACCAUUUAAAUGCCAUAUUUCUGUAGGUCUUUGAAAGGUUUGAAGAAUACCUAUCCAUCUCAAAUACAUCUCUGUAUAUCUAGAAAACCUAACCCAAUUAUAAGUUCUGACUAUUAUAGGUAAAAGAUCUGUAUAAACACAAUACCUAAACAAGAGGAGACAUACAUAUCACAAAAUUGACUUUAAAGUUGUAUCAAUAAAUGAAAAUGUAUACCAAUGCAAAGUAUUCAUUCCUAUAUCCUAUUCCCCUUUUUUUCUUUAAAAAAAUUGACUAUGCUCAUUAUCAUUUAUAACCAACCCCAUUUAAAUGAAAACAAACAUUUAUAAACAAUAUUUGGGGAAUAUGGGCAUUGUUCUUUCUAAACUGCUUCCUGCUGAUUGAGGGCGAUGUUUAUAUACCAUGGGGAUCAUGAUAAAACAUAGAAACCUGACCAAGUCCCUAUUUUUGUAGUCUGUAAGGCUGCAUCAUCUCAGCUUCAGGGGGUCUUGCUUGAUCAAACCAUAUUAAUCUGGAAGGAAUCAACAGCUUUUGAUUUUCUGUGGAAAUACAAGCAAAAACCUUUAUUUCUAAGUAGUCUGUCCUUAAACUUAAAUUUUGAAGUUAGAGCAAUUUUAAAUUGUGUAAGUUGGAUUAAUUUAGCAGCAUUUAUAAUCAAAUGUAUUUUAGCAGCAGUAAUUCUUUCCUUGGCAAUCAAACAAUUUAAAGACAACAAUAUGGCAUAUAGUAUCCAGAUUCUCUGUGUAUUUUCCAUCUUUAUGUGGCUUUUUUAUUACUUUAUUUUUACUUUGUUUUUUUUUUCUUUUUUCCCUGAGACAGGGUUUCUCUGUGGAAAUCUGCCUGCCUCUGCUUCAUUCUCUCACAAGCCUACAUAUAUUUUUAGACGCAGUGUAAACCUUUAGAGGUUUUUCUUUAUCUGGAUCUGUCUUUAUCAUCUCAGAAAUGCUGAGUCUAAACCCCAGAAGCACUGGGAUGGCGUGAGCAUAUGGAAGCUUCCCCGAUGCCUCUCAGCGGCCUGACAGGGCAGGCUGUGGCGCCAGGUUUACCUCUUUCUCCAGGAACCUUGGGGCAUGGGGUGAUCCCGCUCACUGACUCGGAACAAAGACACAACCUUUCUCACCUUCUUGGUGAGAUGAAAUUUCAAGGUCUACUCUGAACCCCCAGGUCAUUCCUUAAAUAGUGAAUAUAAAAGCAGAAGAUGGCCUAAAAUCCUCUGUGUGUGUGUGUGUGUGUGUGUGUGUGUGUGUGUGUGUGUGUGUGUAUGUGUGUGUGUGUUAUGUUACAUGUCAUUGUGAGUUACCUGAUAUGGGUACUAGGAACUGAACUGUGGUUCUCUGAAAGAACAGUGUGUGCUCUUAAUCCCUGAGUCAUUUCUCCAGUCCCUCACCUAGAAAGAGAAUUGAACCUGUUUCUUAGAUAAAUGGAUGGAUUGAUAGAUGAUGAUAGAGAGAUAGACAGAUAGAGAUAGGUGAUAGAUAAUAGAUGAUAGAUGAUAUAAGACAUGAUAGAUGAUAAGUAAUAGAUAAUAGAUGAUAGAUAAAUAAAUGAUAGAUAACAGAUGAUAGAUGAUAGAUAAUAGAUGAUAGAUGAUAUAAGACAUGAUAGAUAAGUAAUAGAUAACAGAUGAUAGACAAAUGAAUGAUAGAUAACAGAUGAUAGAUAAUAGAUGACAGAUGAUAGAUUAAUAGGUAAAUAUAUGAUAGAUGGAUAGAUAGAUAGAUAGAUGAUAUAUAGAUGAUAGACAGACAGAUAGAUAGAUGGCUCUGAGGUUGACUUCCAGCUACAGUCUUGUUCCUAGACUUGGGCCUCCUUCUCCCAACUUGGAUGUUGGCACAGUUGGUAUAAAAGCAGUAGCUUGUCUCCAGAUCUGGGAAAAACACUGCUCACACUAUUGGGUGAACUGCACUUAUUCUGUGGUCAAGACAGGAUGACAGGCCAGGAGUUAACCUCAAGCUAGAGACCAGGCUUAUCCCAGCUUCUCAUUGUCAUGGAUGACAUUAAGGAAAACAAAUAAUAACACAAUCACUUUCCCUUCUAAAAGGAUGUUCCGAUAUCUAAACAGACAGAUUUCAAAUCUAGAAUAAAUUUUCAGACCAGGGGCCGGAGGGUCACACAGGACUGAAAGCAAGGACUUUCUGCCCCCAGAGGCAUUCAUGAAGUUACCAGGAGGGACAGUAUGGAAUGGCGGACCUGGAGCACACUGGUCCUUCAGCCACUGGGAUCUGGAGGGGAGGGAGGCGUGUACUGAGUCUCUCAGUGUUCAGGGAAAGGGAAGAGAGGGGAGGGGAAAGAGGGGAGGAGAGGGGAGGAAAAGGAUGGAAGGGAAAGGGACGGGGAUGCAGGGAAAGAGACCAGGGGAGGGGGGAAAGGAAGGCAGGAGGGGAGGUCAGGGGAAGGGAGGAAAGAGAAUAGAGGGGAAAGCUGGGUCUGGCCCACAGGCACUGUAGUCACAGGCCAAGGGGACCCAUCCCCGGAAGAUGGCUCUGAUCUGAAAUUUGACAUGAGUAACACAAUUUAUAUUGAAAUUGAGUAUCUGUUUGCACACCUCCAGCAUGUGCACCAGAGCCUGUCACAGAGACUGUGCUCAGUACAGAGCGGACGGCCCUUCCCAUCCCAGCUCCUCAGAGACACCUCACCCAGGAGAACAAAAGCUGGUACUGGGGACCAGGACAAUGGUCAGGGACAUUGUUGGCUUCUCAAGCGCCUGAGCUGCCUCACUGCUCCACUGCAGCCAAAUAGCCAGGUCCUGGGGGCCAGCAGAUGGGACCUUCCCAGCUGUCACAUCUGCAGAGAAGAGGCAAAGGACUGAGUAUGACACAUAAGUGUGAAUACAACGUCCACUCUUCACAUGGACACAAUCACACCCUCUAUAGGCACACCUGUCCAUACCCACAGUCACACAAUAAAAUCACACUCCCAUGCUGAAUACAUGAAGAAACUCACACCUUCAAUCUCACACAGACACACUCUCACACCCUACACUCACAUUCACACCCACACAGAAACAAUCUCACACCUUACACUCACAUUCACACACACACACACACUCACACCCUACACUCACAUUCACACCCACACAGACACUCUCACACCCCACACUCACAUUCACACCCACACAGACACACUCUCACACUCUACACUCACAUUCACACCCACACAGACACACUCACACCCUACACUCACAUUCACACCCACACAGACACACUCUCACACCCCACACUCACAUUCAUACCCACACAGACACUCUCACACCCUACACUCACAUUCACACCCACACAGACACUCUCACACCCUACACUCACCUCCCCUGUUGUGUCUUGCCUGACAUCAUUUCUGCCUCACAUCAUGCCUUUCUUCAAUCUGGGACCCAUGUGAUUUACGUCAUGGAGGAAUGAAGGGAGUGACUCACAAGAGUCUCCAGGUCUCCUUGUCCUGCUGUCUUGGCAUCAGGCUUCCCCACCCCCAACAGCAUCUCUGAAGCAAAAGCCAGUGGAGGAAGGCUCCUGCUCUCCCUACAGUCACAUGAGAAGGCUGCUUUGUGCCUUCGGGGAAGACCCCAGUGAGGGAACAGCCAGGAUGGGGAGGGCGUCCUGGGAGAAACAGAACUGGCUGGCACAUUGAUUUUCAACUUUUAGUCUCUAAAGAUGCAGGGAAAUAGGUGUGUGUUGUUUAAGCCACUCAGUGUGGUAUUUGUUACCUGUCAGAGUGGAGUAACAGAGGCAGCUCUCCACAGCUGGUCUGGCUUCCUUCCUUUCUCUGCUCACCCCUCUGGCUCCUCCCUCCCCCCAGCCACCCAAGUGUCCCACACACAUUCCAGGGCCUUUGCACCCUCCUCCUCUGGCAAUCACACUUUCGUGUGUGUGUGUGUGUGUGUGUGU